GACGAACGCUGGCGGCGUGCUUAACACAUGCAAGUCGAACGCUGAAGCUCAGCUUUUGUUGGGUGGAUGAGUGGCGAACGGGUGAGUAACACGUGAGUAACCUGCCCCCUUCUUUGGGAUAACGCCCGGAAACGGGUGCUAAUACUGGAUAUUCACUGGUCUUCGCAUGGGGGUUGGUGGUAAGGGUUUUUCUGGUGGGGGAUGGGCUCGCGGCCUAUCAGCUUGUUGGUGGGGUGAUGGCCUACCAAGGCUUUGACGGGUAGCCGGCCUGAGAGGGUGACCGGGCACAUUGGGACUGGGAUACGGCCCAGACUCCUACGGGAGGCGGCAGUGGGGAAUAUUGCACAAUGGGCGCAAGCCUGAUGCAGCGACGCCGCGUGAGGGAUGGAGGCCUUCGGGUUGUGAACCUCUUUCGCUCAUGGUCAAGCCGCAACAAUGGUUGUGGUGAGGGUAGUGGGUAAAGAAGCGCCGGCUAACUACGUG
rnacentral:rRNA from 1 species